UACAGAGGUCUCAAGCGUUGUUCGGAUUUACUGGGCGUAAAGGGUGCGUAGGCUGCUUUGUAAGUCUGAUGUGAAAUUUUGUGGCUCAACUACAAAAGCGCAUUGGAAACUACAAAGCUAGAGGACUGGAGGGGAAGUCGGAAUUCUCGGUGUAGCAGUGAAAUGCGUAGAUAUCGAGAGGAACACCAGUGGCGAAGGCAGACUUCUAGACAGUUCCUGACGCUGAAGCACGAAAGCUAGGGGAGCAAACAGG
rnacentral:rRNA from 1 species